rnacentral:rRNA from 1 species
UACGAAGGGGGCUAGCGUUGCUCGGAAUUACUGGGCGUAAAGCGCACGUAGGCGGCUUCUUAAGUCGGUGGUGAAAUCCUGGAGCUCAACUCCAGAACUGCCUUCGAUACUGGGAGCUCGAGUCCGGGAGAGGUGAGUGGAACUGCGAGUGUAGAGGUGAAAUUCGUAGAUAUUCGCAAGAACACCAGUGGCGAAGGCGGCUCACUGGCCCGGUACUGACGCUGAGGUGCGAAAGCG